UUGGAGCUGCUGGAUAGCUACGAAGCAGGCGAAGAGGAGCCUGAAACUCCGAGGAGGUCGGCGGACAGCCUGGAUAUUGAUGGCGAGACAGAUGAUACAAGCACCGAGUCACUCCCAUCUGCAUCUUCUGUGUCUUCUGCACCAUCUACAUCUGGAGAAAGCUCAUCAGCUGCAGGCAUUACAGAGACCACUGGAAGAAGCACAACAGCCACCAAGUCCUCUGGAACUACAUCUGCCAAGAGAAGGAGAGAGAGAGAGAGAGAGAGAGAGAGAGAGAGAGAGAGAGAGAUCCGCUAGCAUUGUCAACCAGAGCCAAUCACUGCAGACACGCUGAUCUAACGUUAUACCUGCAGCGGAUUUUGCCGGCUGUUCGGUCCAGUUCUGUGCAUCUAAACUGACUGUUGUGGAUUACUGACACUGAACGAGUCCGGACCGAGUCUAUUCCGGACAACAAACUGACCUCUGUAGUGAAUUUGCAGCCAUAACCCAGCAAAAGGCCAAAAUAGCCAAUUUGGCUCUCUUUCUCUUCAUUCUUCUCCUCCUCAGCACCUGCUCAUUAAUGUUACACACACAUUUUAAAAUAAAAGUGAAAAUGCUUACUUCCUCCAUAACCUCCCUAACUUUAGUGCAACAGCGUGCUGCGUCUGAUGUCAUUGUUAUUGUUCUUUUGCGCAUGCGGGUCAGUUCGAAACCGCAAACAGUUCACACUG